UACAGAGGUCUCAAGCGUUGUUCGGAUUCAUUGGGCGUAAAGGGCGCGUAGGCGGCGGGGUAAGUCGGGUGUGAAAUCUCAGAGCUCAACUCUGAAACUGCACUCGAUACUGCUCUGCUUGAGGACUGGAGAGGAGACUGGAAUUCACGGUGUAGCAGUGAAAUGCGUAGAGAUCAUGAGGAAGACCAGUGGCGAAGGCGGGUCUCUGGACAGUUCCUGACACUGAGACACGAAGGCCAGGGGAGCAAACGGG
rnacentral:rRNA from 1 species